GCGCAGCAGGCGCGAAACCUCCGCAAUGCGCGAAAGCGCGACGGGUUACCCGAGUGCCGUCCGCUGAGGACGGCUUUGCCCAGUGUAGCCAGCUGGGCGAAUAAGGAGAGGGCAAGUCUGGUGCCAGCCGCCGCGGUAAUACCAGCUCUCCGAGUGGUGGGGACGCUUAUUGGGCCUAAAGCAUCCGUAGCCGGUCUGGCAAGUCCCUUGUUAAAUCCAACGAUUCAAUCGUUGGACUGCAAGGGGAUACUGCCAGACUAGGGGGCGGGAGAGGCCGACGGUAUUCCCGGGGUAGGGUGAAAUCCUAUAAUCCCGGGAGGACCACCAGUGGCGAAGGCUGUCGGCUAGAACGCGCCCGACGGUGAGGGAUGAAAGCUGGGGGAGCGAACCGGAUUAGAUACCCCCGUAGU
rnacentral:rRNA from 1 species